AUUGAACGCUGGCGGCAGGCCUAACACAAGCAAGUCGAACGGUAACAGGAAGAAGCUUGCUUCUUUGCUGACGAGUGGCGGACGGGUGAGUAAUGUCUGGGAAACUGCCUGAUGGAGGGGGAUAACUACUGGAAACGGUAGCUAAUACCGCAUAACGUCGCAAGACCAAAAAGGGGGACCUUCGGGCCUCUUGCCAUCGGAUGUGCCCAGAUGGGAUUAGCUAGUAGGUGGGGUAACGGCUCACCUAGGCGACGAUCCCUAGCUGGUCUGAGAGGAUGACCAGCCACACUGGAACUGAGACACGGUCCAGACUCCUACGGGAGGCAGCAGUGGGGAAUAUUGCACAAAGGGCGCAAGCCUGAUGCAGCCAUGCCGCGUGUAUGAAGAAGGCCUUCGGGUUGUAAAGUACUUUCAGCGGGGAGGAAGGGAGUAAAGUUAAUACCUUUGCUCAUUGACGUUACCCGCAGAAGAAGCACCGGCUAACUCCGUG
rnacentral:rRNA from 1 species